GUGUAAUGUUUAGUCUAGAGAGAAAUGAUGAACUACAAUUAAAAUUAAGAAUCCAAAAACAAUGAAAGUCCGAGAGAUCGAGAAGUAGAGAAAGUGAGAGAUGCAUCACCAACGAAUUUUUUUAGCAAGACUUCUCUGUUGCUCUAAUCAACAACAACAAAUUACAAGCCCUAAUAAAAUCACCAACAGAAUUUUAUUAUUAUUGUUUCCCUUUAUUUUGAUUGAAUUGAAGCUGUUCGGUGGUUGUAUUUUGCUUUUAUUUGUAUUUAAAUUGAUUAAAUUUUGAUAUCUUGCAGGUUGGGAUGAAGUUAACUAUCAAAAUUCAAUCAAAUUUUAGUCGAUUCAAAUUUGUAUUCAAUCAAAAUUCGCAGGUUGGGAUUUUGCUUUUAUAUGUAUUCAAUCCCUAAAAUGCUCUUUCACUGAUUCAGAGUAUCGUGCAGAUAAGACUUCUGCCCAAGUAAUUCUUGAUCUCAUGACAGUUGGCAAAGCCAUAAAGAAAGUAUCUGUCACAGUGGAGAAUUGUACCGUCUUUGAAGUUAACCGUACUUUCUUCCCAUAUGGACAAGGGGCACAUAUUUUCGUACACCUGAGUGUGGAUUUGUUAAGGAUCGACAGAUUGGUCAGAGAGUUUGGCAUUUCUAUUGGACCUUUCCAACUUCAGGACAUAGCUGGAUAUGGAAUUGGAAUUGCGACUGUUAAAUUGUUAGCCUCUGCCUUCAGAGAUUGAAUGCUCAAAGAGUCCACUAACUGAUAUUGUAAUGAAGUAGGGGAGAAAUGAUACAGAGGAAAAUCAUGUAUUUCUUUUUGAUCUGAAGAUUUUGACAAUUACUCGGUGUUACCUUUCUAUUAUGCCGUAAAUUCUUUAACCAAUGCAUGUGAUGCUUAUUCGGCUUUGUGCAAAGAUUUUGAUGUUUCAGGUAAACUAAAUGGUAAAGGGAAGCAGGCUAAUAUUGUACCUGGUGGAAAGGUUUUACUCAUUGUCUUAGUCAUUCUUAACUUAAUAUCUUCUUCACUUGCAUAUAUCAAUAUAAAUUCAUGCCUAGGUUGAAUAAUCAGCUCACUCAUGCUGGGAAAAUUCCAAUUGUGCGAAAAAGCAGAACCAUGAUCUCAUUCUUAAACAAAUGAAGAAGUUUUGUUGUGUUUCUUCCCUUCUAUUUUUAUACUAGGGUCUACAUAUCAUUUUUUGAACUUAUAUGACACAUUAUUGCACAUGAUUUUCCCAUACAUGACAAAGAGUGCACUGAGAGUGGUACUGAACAUCAUUACAUGAUUUGCAUCCUCUAUCUUUGAUUGAUCAAGAGAUUGUGGAGAUGAUAAUGUUUCCUGUAGUGAUAUGGAAUUUUUGUUCCAUAUUUUUGGGAGUUCAUCUACUAAACAGUUAAAAUAAUUGCUAGAGAUAUUGAAUUUUGAUGGAUUAUCUGCACAAACAAGUAAUGACACUGAUUGCUUAUGUGAUGGAGUUCGAAGGAAACUAUGGAUCACAUCUCAUUACUGUAUCCAAUGUUGUUUCGGUUAAUUGUUGGAUUCCCCCCACCCAAGGCCCAAGAUGUCUAAAAGGUCAGGAGUACUACCAAUUUUAAUCAAGGGAUAAUGGCACCAGGUGGAGUUAGACCCCCUCGCACAUCACACGCAGCCUCUCAGUUGUCAUGCACUGAUCUGCCAAAGAUUAACAAAGGAGGAAGAGGGGAUCCUCUUAAUGCAAAGCUUAAUGAUCACAUAAGGAAAAAGAAAGAAAAGCCUACAAUAACAAUCAAACCAGGUAAUAAGAUUCCAACUGGGGAUUGGGCCACUGAAUUCCAAACUGAAAUAGGAAUCAUCGUCAAAAAGUUUGCACCGUGGUCGACUCGCCCCAAAUGGAAGUCAAUUGGAAAAUCAGAUCUGAAGAAAUUUUAUGAUCUCAUAUUGGAAAAAUUCACUAUUGAUCUACAUGUAGUACGCAUUCAGAAGGCGGUCAACACAAUGCUAGCAAAUGAGUACACAGUUCAGAUGCACACUUCACAAACACUACCUGCAGUACAAACAAGAUGGAACAGAACGGGAAAACCCGCAUCAUCAGGUUAAGCAGGAGGAUUGGGAGAAACUUUGCACUUGGUUUGAGUCUGAUGAGUUUCAGACAAGUAGCACUCAAGGUAAAAAAAGUCGACAAGCGAAUACAACCAUUCAUUGUACAGGGUCAAAACCUUUUGCCCGCUAUAGAGAGGAAAUGUGUGAUCCAGAAACAGGUGAAGUUGUUGAACAAAUUGAAUUCUACAAGUUAACCCACUGCAAAAAUGAUGUUUGGACGUGGAAAACUAUGUAACCUAAGGAUUUUCGUUGUGAUUUUCUUUUAAGUUUUUUGUUGGGAGUUAUUAUUGUGUAGGGUAAAAUGCUUGAACUCCGAGCUGCGCCUACACCUGAAGGUUCAACACCCUUGACCGAUGCUCAAAUAUGUGAGGAAGUGAUAGGUGUAAGAUCCGGUUAUGUCAAGGGUCUUGGUCAUGGGUAUGAAAAACCUAGCUCGUCUAGCAUCGAAUAUAAUGCGGAGUUAGGCGAAGCUCUUAGGAGGGAAGAUGACACAGAGAAGAGAAAUAAGGAACUUGAAGAAAGAGUUGAUGAUCAAAAUCGCACAAUACAGGGGCUGGUAACUGACACAAUGGAUAUAAGAAGAAUGUUGCUUGAAAUGCAGGGAAACCGUCAAAGCACUCCUGAGAACAGUCAAAGUACUCCUGAGAACCGUCAAACCACCUCUUGAGAUGAUUGUUGAGGGACCAACAGUUGAGAUCUGCAUCUCUGUUUCUUUUUUUAGCUUUAUGUUUCCACAAGUGGUAUCGUUUUUUCUUCACUUUAGAAUUAGCUUUAUGUUUCUCUUUUGAAAUUUGUAGUGGUAUCGUUUCUUUUCUUCAGUUUAGAAUGUUAAGUUUCUUAAUUAGUGGUGUCAUUUAAUGAACAAUGUAGAUCUUUUCUAUUAAUGAUUUGCUUC